rnacentral:tRNA from 2 species
AUAUUGGUACGGUCUCGAAAACCGGAGUAGGGGCAACUCUACCGGGGGUUCAAAUCCCCCUCUCUCCGCCA